CUUCAUGGUUUGGGUAUUACAUGAGUUUGUCAUUAAACCUUUCCCAUACCUCAUAUAAGGGAUCACCACUUAGUUGGAGAAAAUUUGUGAUUUCGUCUCUUAGUUG